rnacentral:rRNA from 1 species
GAGAGAGUGCUUUAUUGAACCAAGUGACAGGUGUUGCAUGGCCGUUGUCAGCUCGUGUCGUGAGAUGUUUGGUUAAGUCCAUCAACGAGCGCAACCCUUAUAGUUAGUUGAAUUUCUCUAGCUAGACUGCCCUGGUAACAGGGAGGAAGGAGGGGAUGACUUCAGGUCGGUAUUGCCCUUACGUCUGGGGCUACAAACACGCUACAAUGGCCGGUACAAAGGGCUGCCAAGUCGCGAGACGGAGCAAAUCCCAUCAAAGCCGGUCCCAGUUCAGAUUGCAGGCUGAAACUCGCCUGCAUGAAGCCGGAAUCGCUAGUAAUGGUAGGUCAGCACACUACCGUGAAUACGUUCCCGGGUCUUGUACACACCGCCCGUCAAACCAUGAAAGUCGCCAAUACCUGACGUGCUAGCUUGCCUAGCCCUAAGGUAGGGGAGAUGAUUGGGGUUAAGUCGUAACAAGGUAACCGUAA